CUAGGACUGGGAGCCGCUGGUAUUCCUUUGCAUUCUCCAGUGUUUUCCCCUGCAGGGAGCCGAGUCACAACUGGUGGUUCCUGGGCAAUGCCAACAAAAGGAACAGCUCACCCAUUUGUUGUUGAGACUGACAAUUACAAUGUUCAACUUUUUGGAUCAUCUCUUCCUGUCAAGGUCAUGGAGGCAUUGGCAAAUUCUAAUGGUCGUUCCAGAGCAGUCCAAAAAGCGGUUUACAAUGAUUCACAGUUGUUCUUGCUCCGUAUGGUCAAAGAAAAUUCGAGAGCAUUCAAGAAUAAAGUAAGGAAAUUAGGUCAUGCAAUCCGCUUUACAGAUCCCUAUGUCCCUGUGUCACAAGUCCCGAUUGUUUCACAGAGUUUAUUUUUCCUUUCCCUUUCCCUUUUUUUUUUUAUUAUAUAUUUUUUUAUGCCUUAAGUCACAAGUCACUAAAGAGCAUCGCGGAUAGAGAUGGUCACUUCUGCUCCUCCAUACGUCAUGCCUAGCGAGACCUACCGCCAAUCCGUUUAGUUUAUUGCACCAAAAUUCCUUUUAUGCCCAAAAUAGCAGUGAAUAGUAGGUAAUAUUCAUAUGGGAGGAAUGUGAGUGGGGCAUAAAACUGGGAUCACUUGAUCAAAUAUGACAUUCAAUGGGCGAUGCGACAGUGAGAAAGUAAGACCGAUAAUCCGCUAUACUGGUCCCUAUAGCUCAGACCCCACAGUUUGAUAAGAUAUUAUACAUGUCCCCAUCACAGGUCGUAGGGGGAUAUUUAUAAGUAGAGGAGCAAUGAGCCCUGCUUUUUAAGCAUUCCUUGCCAGACGGAUUCAGCGGUCACUCCCAUCAAUGUACACAGAGAAGAAAACAUCACCAUCACAUGAUUCAGUACAUGUCAGGGAGUAUGACCGA